UACGUAGGGCGCAAGCGUUGUCCGGAAUUAUUGGGCGUAAAGAGCUCGUAGGUGGCGUGUCGCGUCUGCCGUGAAAGCCCAUGGCUUAACUGUGGGUCUGCGGUGGAUACGGGCAGGCUAGAGGCUGGUAGGGGCAAGCGGAAUUCCUGGUGUAGCGGUGAAAUGACGCAGAUAUCAGGAGGAACACCGGUGGCGAAGGCGGCUUGCUGGGCCAGUUCUGACGCUGAGGAGCGAAAGCGUGGGGAGCGAACAGG
rnacentral:rRNA from 1 species